rfam:Podiceps cristatus contig71097, whole genome shotgun sequence.
GGGUCCAUUCUAAUUCCCUGCGGGUUGGCACCAGUACCUGCUGGGUUUCGCUUGUGGACCACAUUAAACUGGAGAACUUACGCACGUGUGAGCUUACUGGUAGUCUGCUCGUGGCAUGGUUUUCUGGACAUGU